AUACAGUGGUCAGGACACUUCCUAAUCAUGUCUUUGAACCUUUCCCAUGCUUCAUGAAAGCUUUCUAAAUCAUCUUGCUGAAAUAUGAAGAUCUCACGCCCUAAUUU
rnacentral:snoRNA from 1 species